rnacentral:tRNA from 1 species
GCCUGGCUGGCUCAGUCGGUGGAGCAUGAGACUCUUGAUCUCAGGGUUGUGGGUUCGAGCCCAUGUUGGGUA